rnacentral:rRNA from 1 species
GAUGAACGCUGGCGGCGUGCCUAAUACAUGCAAGUCGAGCGAACAGAUGAGGAGCUUGCUCCUCUGACGUUAGCGGCGGACGGGUGAGUAACACGUGGAUAACCUACCUAUAAGACUGGGAUAACUUCGGGAAACCGGAGCUAAUACCGGAUAAUAUAUUGAACCGCAUGGUUCAAUAGUGAAAGACGGUUUUGCUGUCACUUAUAGAUGGAUCCGCGCCGCAUUAGCUAGUUGGUAAGGUAACGGCUUACCAAGGCAACGAUGCGUAGCCGACCUGAGAGGGUGAUCGGCCACACUGGAACUGAGACACGGUCCAGACUCCUACGGGAGGCAGCAGUAGGGAAUCUUCCGCAAUGGGCGAAAGCCUGACGGAGCAACGCCGCGUGAGUGAUGAAGGUCUUCGGAUCGUAACACUCUGUUAUUAGGGAAGAACAAAUGUGUAAGUAACUAUGCACGUCUUGACGGUACCUAAUCAGAAAGCCACGGCUAACUACGUG